AUUGAACGCUGGCGGCAUGCCUUACACAUGCAAGUCGAACGGCAGCACGGGAGCAAUCCUGGUGGCGAGUGGCGAACGGGUGAGUAAAGUAUCGGAACGUGCCCAGUCGUGGGGGAUAACGUAGCGAACGUUACGCUAAUACCGCAUACGAUUUAUGGAUGAAAGCGGGGGAUCGCAAGACCUCGCGCGAUUGGAGCGGCCGGUAUCAGAUUAGGUAGUUGGUGGGGUAAAGGCUCACCAAGCCGACGAUCGGUCGCUGGUCUGAGAGGACGACCAGCCACACUGGGACUGAGACACGGCCCAGACUCCGACGGGAGGCAGCAGUGGGGAAUGUUGUACAAUGUGCGAAAGCCUGAUCCAGCCAUGCCGCGUGCAGGAUGAAGGCCUUCUGGUUGUAAACUGCUUUUGUACGGAACGAAAAGGUUUGGCCUAAUAAGCUGAGCUCAUGACGGUACCGUAAGAAUAAGCACCGGCUAACUACGUGCCAGCCGCCGCGGUAA
rnacentral:rRNA from 1 species